UACGGAGGGGGCUAGCGUUGUUCGGAAUCACUGGGCGUAAAGCGUACGUAGGCGGCUUGCCAAGUCAGGGGUGAAAGCCUGGGGCUUAACCUCAGAACUGCCCUUGAAACUGGCUCGCUUGAACACAGGAGAGGUGAGUGGAAUUCCGAGUGUAGAGGUGAAAUUCGUAGAUAUUCGGAGGAACACCAGUGGCGAAGGCGACUCACUGGACUGUAGUUGACGCUGAGGUACGAAAGCGUGGGGAGCAAACAGG
rnacentral:misc_RNA from 1 species